rnacentral:snoRNA from 1 species
CUAAAACUCUUAUCUACUGUUAACAGCAGUCUCGUUGGUAAUGUAUAUAACCUGUUGCUUCUACGGGUUGCUCUAAAGCACCUUGGAAACCUUG